GCGUCUCCAGUUGUUAACAUGGCGAGGCCGAGGUUCGCUCGGAGAACUCUUCGAGUGCUAAUCUAUUCCCCGCAGAGUUUUAGCAUUGAUGGCCUGUGAGGAAGUGGGUUGUAAGUGCGAAUCUCCGCGGCACCUAGUCCGAACUGAGCGUUGUCCAGAAUGGUGUUAGUAUUGCGGCGGUGUCCCGGGAACUCGCGGGUCCUUUUGGAGAGCUCUGCCCGCCGGUGACAGACUGAGGUGGAGGGAAACUUCAGACGCGGCUGUAGCCAUUCUCAGGAUGCAGAUGCAACGAACAGCUUCUUACUCAAAUAUAAAAACACACCUGGAGCCAGAGUGGAAUGAAGAACAGCAAAGAUUAUUGGAAGUACAAAAAACAAAUAGGGCUAAAGUUCAUAAAUUUAGUUUGCAAACAAUCCGCAGGCAGAAAGCCCUUCAGGAGAGGCACAGAGAAGAUGAGGAAAAGGAACGAAGAUUUAGUGAAAAGGUGCUUCAAGAACGAAAACUGAAGCAACAAGAUGCAACUGAGAGAUUUCAGCGAGCCCAUCUGCUGUCAUCACAGCGCCGGCAAAAUAUAACUGGCCAUAAAAAACAGACUACUCAAUUAACUGAAGCUCUUCAACAGAUUCACAGUUCAUUUUAUAUGUCAAAUUCGCCAUUGUCUGCUGUUGCAAAGCCCACAGUCAGCAAAGGGACCACUGAUUUAUCUCCAACUCCAACAACUCAUGGGGAGACAAGAAAGGUUUGCCACAAUAAGAGCCAACUUUCAGCUACUAAAGCUUAUGCCAAGCUUAUGCAAGAGAAAAGUGGGGUAAAUUUGAAAAACAGCCGGUUAUGCUUUCAGCAGGAGCUAGAGGAGACACAACGUCUCCUGGGAGAGCAACAGCUGAAUAGCUUACUGGAAUUCCAAAAAGAAAUCAAUCAACUUAAUCAAACUCAAAGCUUAUCAAGUCUUGACAGCCUGGAAAUAGAGGGACAAAAUGUUGUACACACAUCUUUAAAUGAUUCUUUUGGCUCUGGUACGAGAGAGGCUUUGCCUCUAAAAACAGGACACAUAAGUGCCUGGAUCAAUGACUUAAAUCAUUGGAGGACUCCAAUUUCUUCUUCUGGGAAUACAAUAACAAAUGGAACUGAAGCUUCAACUGCAGAGGAACAUUUGAGUGACAAGCUGCAUACAUUUGCUUCCACAAGUACAGAAUCCAAACAUCUUGACUCAAGCUCUGCUUCAUGUGCUGAAAUACAUCAAAACACACAUUUAACCAAAUGUUUUAAUAGCAAUCAAUAUAAAGCAGCAGAUAGUCAUUUCAACUCAGUACUAAAGUAUCCAACAUCCACAGAGUCCUCUGAAAGUUUGAAAGGUCAAUCUGCUUAUUCUGCAACAAUUCCUUGCAAUGCUUGGUCUACACCAGAUCCAAAUGCUAGAGAAAUAACACCAUGCUCAGAGGUGAAUGGCAGAGUAGAAAAUGAGCUCCAAAGAAAAGCUGCAUCAUUUCAUCCUUUAAAACUGCCUUUUGCAACACCAAUCUUUUUACAUCCAGAAUCACAAAUGGCAAGUGACAGAGCAAAAACGGACAGUGUGAAUGACAGUCAAAAGAUCCAUCAAGCACAUCAACAGAUGUGUGUUGGUGCAACUAUUAGAUCAAUCCAUUCUCCUUUCAUGUCAAACAAAAAUAUGGACAUUUCCAGUGACACUGAAGACAAGCAAGCUUCACUCAACAAAUAUAACUCUAAUGUCAAAAUGAGACAAAAUUCUGCAGCAGCCAGUCAGAAAUCUAUUUGUUCCCAAGUACCAUUUAAUACAUCUGAACCUGAUUCUGUAACCAAUAUGACAGAAGGAAAAGAAAAUGAACCAGUGAAUACCAGUAGGUUAAAAGCCAACAAGAAUUCUAUCCCAGAGAAAAAAGUCAAAAUUUUGAAGGGAAUACUUAAGAAAGUAUCAAAGUAUGGAAAUAGUAAAACCAAAUCUCCAUUAUCUGCCUGUAACGUGCUUGGUAUUCACAUAGCAUCCUCUAUUAGAGAUAGCUUGGAGCUUAAAAAAAUGAAAGAUGUAGAAACUGAUAAAAAACCAACAAAGAAAAAACUGAGGUGGCUGGAUGAGAUUGACCAAUCCAACCAAAUUAAGAAGGAGAAAGAUGAAGCUACUGGGGAAGAACUAGGAAGUACAGCAGACAUUAAAAGUUCAGAAUUAACAAGCCAGAAUCAGUUACAGACAACUGAUUUUCAAAAUAAUGAUCAUGAUGCUAAUGUUAAUUCAAAUGUAAACAAUAACGAAUCAAAAUGGAACACAUUAAAUACUAAUCAAAAGGUUGCUGUAAAUUAUGAUCUAUCUGGCCAUCAGCUAAAUGAAACCUGGGGAAACAUCACAAUGGCAGUGCCUGCAAUUUCAGAAACUGUUUCUGCAUCCAAUGGAUUAAUUUCAGCUGUGCCAUCUGAUUACCAUUUUGCAAAACGAUCCUGGACAGCAACAGGAACUCGAAGCUUAUAUCAGAAAAUGAAUGAAAAAAGCAAUGUUGCUGAACCUGAAAAAUCCUUGAGAGGAAAAAGGCAUGCCAAAAUGGUUAGAAGAGCCCAUUCAGCUAAAGUUUGUUCUGGCAGGAAAGGUACCAUAAUCAGACCAUUGUCUGCUAGUGAAUUAAUAAAUUCUCAGGGUAAAGUCAUGGUACCCCAUCCACCACCCAAACCAGCCACUGAUAGCAAGCAGUCUCAAAGGACAGCUGUCAGUUAUAACAGUAGUUGUCAAUCACAGGUGCAUUCAGCUCAUGUUAUUGACGCAUGUUCGGAUACAUCGGUGAAAGUCACGCCAUUAGAUAAAGGUACCAAUGAGAAUUCAAUAAUCUCAGACCUUCAGCCUCAAUUAUAUUCAUUAAGUAAUAAAUCUGACAAUACUAUAACAUUCCCAUCUUCCUAUUUGGUCGGCUCAUAUGAAACUAUUAGUAAAGAAACCUGUUCAGUAAAUGCUACACAAGAACAUGUAAGCAAUGGCACGAAACAAGACCCUUUCAAUGGAGAGAACACCAUGCGUUUGGAUUCCACACCAACUUAUGAACAAAUUGCACUGCUGUGGCAUAGAGUACGUGAUGCCUUGGCAAAAAAAGAUAUAGCAACUGUUAAUUCUCAGAACAACUUAUCUUCGAAUAAAGGGCAUACAACAAAUCUACAACCUCAUCGAACUAGUAUCUCCCAUUUGACUAUUGAUGGAGGCAGCUUGUUGAAUGGCACACAAUCGGUUUCCAGAGUAGGACAAUUAUUUUCUGCUCCUUCUGGUGAUAGAAGAAAGCACCCCAUAGAUACAUACAGUAAUGCUACAAAAUAUAAGGCUCCUCUUGAGCAGAGAAGAAUGAUUAGUAGUUCUUCUGCAAGUAAAUCUGAUCAAAUAAGACAGAACAUUCAGAUACAGCCAUUUCGAAGUGUCUUUAAUCCUGUUAAAGCAGUAAGUGCUGUUCAGAACACCAAAGAAGCAGUUUCAGAAAGCACCAAACAGUUUAUGUUAGCAGAAAAUCUCGUAGAAACAUCUGCUGUGGAUACUGACAUCCUGGCUGCUAUGGACUCAUUAAAAACUCAGCAACAUGCCUUCCUUGAAAACAAUGUACAGCAAUCAGGCCUCAGUGCACUGUCCUUUGAAGAAAAGAAACUUCUUCAGUCAUUAGAUCGCCUUAACCAAAGACUGAAGUGUCAAAAUCCCCUGGAACCAAGUAUUGUCACAAGAAGAAUUUCAGCUAUUCAUAAAGACCUCUACUUUCUGAAAGGCAGUACAGGACGGGCAUUUGAUGCUGGCUUUACCAGCAGCAUCUAGGUAUAAACCCUGCCUUUGACUGACAUUCGAUAAACUACUUAUCCCUAUUGUCCCAAGUCUCUUAAUUAUUUGGAAGCAAAAGCCAAUAAUGUUUAGAAUCCCUUAAUAGUAAGUGCAACUUUAAUUAGUAAACACAUAAAAAAUAGACUUAUUUAAAUUUCAUGUAUAGUAGUGUAAAUUCUACAGAUCAAGAAACUAUACAGAGGAUUCCAGUUAAUUAGGACUAGUACAUUUUGGCCCAAUUAUGUGGCUGCCAAAAUUAGCCAAAGAAUCAUGGAAGUAGUUAAAAAGGUAUAAAAAGAACAAACUGAGUAACAAAUUAUGUAUUUAACUGAAAUACAGAAAAAUUAGAACACUACUAAUAUUACUACAGUACUAUAAAAAUGUGUAUUAAUUCCUAAUAUUUACCAAAGGAAGAAAUCAUCUAUGUUGUGUUCUUUAAACUGUAAGUGAAUACACUCACUGCAAACAGUUAGUGCAGAAAUGGGCUGCCUCCAAACAAUGUUGUUGAUGAUUACAUCCUCCAAAUCUUCAUUUUUUUUAUUGUAAUGUUCAAGAUGAUUGUUGGUACCUUCAAAUUCUUCACAGUUUCUAACUUAUUGAAAUAGUGAAAUAGUUUCAUUUGCACUUCUGGUCAUUAUUAGCAUCUCUAAACCUGAAUGCUUGAAACUGCAAUGAGCAAAACCGUUCUGAAUUGUCUUACUGCUUAUUUCUCACCAACCAUCAGUGAUAAAAAUCACUGCUUUUUGAACACCAAUAUACGCAGAUGGCACCAUUUAAAAAUUGUUUGAAGCAGUGUUGUGUCUUAACAGCCACACGAGUGAACAUGACUGACACUGGUUAGAAACAGUUUGGCAACUGUCUCCUGCCCCAAUUAAGUGGAUGGUGUCCAAAAUAACUGAAGAGAAUCUCAGUUAUUUUCUCGAUUAGUUUUUGUUUUUAUAAGAGUUGUCCCAAAUAAGUGACUGCCCUGAUUAAUCGAUGGCCCAAUUAACUGGAAUCCACUAUAUUUGCUUUUCAUCGAUAUCUUUUAAUGUUGCAGUGCACACUGGAAGAAAAUGUUUUUAAAGGACAUCAAGAAUUGAAUAAUGAGCCACAAUGAAAGAUUAUGAUAAACUUCACUAACUAAUCGUAUGUUGAGUUUUGGAAGGAUUAAUGAAGCCAGAAUAAAAUGGAGAAGCAAAUAAUUAUGGACAGGAAAUGGAGUUGGGGUAAUUUGAGAGGACAUAGCCAUUAGUGAGGAACAAUGGAUAAGUAGACCAGAAUAAGCGGACAAGGAGUGUUGAAGAGGAUAGCAGACCAGAACUUACAAAUCUAGUAAAGCAAGGUGGAGGUAAGAUUCUAAAGAUGAAGGUGUUAACACCAACAGACAAAACUACAUUUUCACUAAUUUUAGGUGCAGUGUUCAAAAAAGUAGUAAAUUACUGUGACUUUAAUAAGAUUACAGUAUUUAAUUCCUUGUUAAAAAUCCUGUGUUUAAAUUUCAAUGUUGGUUGGAAUUUUCUCCAAAUGGGGAAAGAGGCAGUUUCCUAGUUUGUGAAUUUGUUGGAUUGUCUAUAAGGAGUGAGUUGCGUCAAUUGCAAUGUGGUUGGAGAAAAGCAUGUUAACCCCUAUAACAGUCCCCUUAAGGGCAUUUGUAGACACUGAAAUUACCAACCUUACACAUAUACAUCAGUGCUUAUACCACGCACACACUGCUAAAAUGGUACAAUUUAUGAUAAUUUUGAGGGGACAAAUGAACAUAGAGGCCUGACUGUUGUGGUUAUCUCAUAAAGCAAAGUGAUCUGUGAGGAGAGACCAAAGCUGUGGAUCCUGAGUCCUUGCACCCAAACUGUCUUGAUGGCCUGUCAGAUACUGUCAAAGGUCUCAGAACUUUUAAAUAUCUCUGAUAAGAGAGGCUUUAAAAUGAGUUAAAAUUAAUAUAUGUAAUUAAAACAGGAAAAUUAUUUAGAAAUAAUGGAGCAAUACGGUAAUUAAUUUACUUCAAUUACCUUAAGUUUACAAAAAUUAAUUAAAAUUGUAGAGAUAAAGAAAAAUAAACAAAUCACUUGCCUGCAUUUGUCUUUUUGAUCAGCCAAAUGACUCUAUUUAAAUGAGUAGGAUCACUACAUGUGCCAGCCACGACUGCUUUAAAGCUUAGCAUGUUUGUGCAUUACCCUGAUCCAAACUUUUUUUUAUUAUCUGACAUAAUUUAGGUAUCCAGGAAACUGUUGAAGCAAGUCCAUGUAAUGGUCUUCUUCAGAUUCCAUCUCCUUUUAUCACGCCAUAUGGUAUUUCUAGCUCUGGGUGGAGACCAGUAAAAGCCAUUUGUGGACCAGAAAAUCAUCACAAUGUUACCGCUUGUG